UGGGGAAUAUUGCACAAUGGGCGCAAGCCUGAUGCAGCCAUGCCGCGUGUAUGAAGAAGGCCUUCGGGUUGUAAAGUACUUUCAGCGGGGUGGAAGGGAGUAAAGUUAAUACCUUUGCUCAUUGACGUUACCCGCAGAAGAAGCACCGGCUAACUCCGUGCCAGCAGCCGCGGUAAUACGGAGGGUGCAAGCGUUAAUCGGAAUUACUGGGCGUAAAGCGCACGCAGGCGGUUUGUUAAGUCAGAUGUGAAAUCCCCGGGCUCAACCUGGGAACUGCUUCUGAUACUGGCAAGCUUGAGUCUCGUAGAGGGGGGUAGAAUUCCAGGUGUAGCGGUGAAAUGCGUAGAGAUCUGGAGGAAUACCGGUGGCGAAGGCGGCCCCCUGGACGAAGACUGACGCUCAGGUGCGAAAGCGUGGGGAGCAAACAGG
rnacentral:rRNA from 1 species